UACUCUUUUCGAAUUACUUAUUUUGUUUGGAUUUAACCACCUGCUAGAAUUGUUUGUUUGUCAAACAGAGGAACCAUAUUCAGAUUCAGAGAGUCCGCUUUAAUUAUUUACAGAAUCAUUGUCUCUGACAAUGAAAAGUUCCAAAAGGGGUUGGACUGUGAGUUCAAUGGCACCACCUUUAAAGAUGGCGAAUCGUCUACUAUAGCAGCAUCUGGACCAUGUGUAGAAUAUACUUGUAAGAACGGAGCAUUCGCACCCAGCAAAGUUCAAUGCGCAGAUAAAGAUGGAAACUGCAAGGAUCCCGGCGACACCUUUUCACUGGUGAUAAAAGAUAAAACUUAUGAUACAUGUAAUUGCACAGUAACAGCUGAUAAUAAAGUCAAUUAUUCUUGUUCUUAAAAAAAGUAAUAAACAAGUAGUUCACCAAAACAA